GGCGGCGUGCCUAAUACAUGCAAGUCGAGCGCAGGAAACUGACGGAACUCUUCGGAGGGAAGGCAGCGGAAUGAGCGGCGGACGGGUGAGUAACACGUAAGGAACCUGCCUCAAGGAUUGGGAUAACUCCGAGAAAUCGGAGCUAAUACCGGAUAGUUCAUCGGACCGCAUGGUCCGUUGAUGAAAGGCGCUUCGGCGUCACCUUGAGAUGGCCUUGCGGUGCAUUAGCUAGUUGGUGGGGUAACGGCCCACCAAGGCGACGAUGCAUAGCCGACCUGAGAGGGUGAUCGGCCACACUGGGACUGAGACACGGCCCAGACUCCUACGGGAGGCAGCAGUAGGGAAUCUUCCACAAUGGACGAAAGUCUGAUGGAGCAACGCCGCGUGAGUGAUGAAGGUUUUCGGAUCGUAAAACUCUGUUGUAAGGGAAGAACACGUACGAGAGGAAAUGCUCGUACCUUGACGGUACCUUACGAGAAAGCCACGGCUAACUACGUGCCAGCAGCCGCGGUAAUACGUAGGUGGCAAGCGUUGUCCGGAAUUAUUGGGCGUAAAGCGCGCGCAGGCGGCCUUUUAAGUCUGAUGUGAAAGCCCCCGGCUCAACCGGGGAGGGCCAUUGGAAACUGGAAGGCUUGAGUACAGAAGAGAAGAGUGGAAUUCCACGUGUAGCGGUGAAAUGCGUAGAGAUGUGGAGGAACACCAGUGGCGAAGGCGACUCUUUGGUCUGUAACUGACGCUGAGGCGCGAAAGCGUGGGGAGCAAACAGGAUUAGAUACCCUGGUAGUCCACGCCGUAAACGAUGAGUGCUAGGUGUUGGGGGGUUUCCGCCCCUCAGUGCUGAAGCUAACGCAUUAAGCACUCCGCCUGGGGAGUACGGCCGCAAGGCUGAAACUCAAAGGAAUUGACG
rnacentral:rRNA from 1 species